UCCCUGGUGGCUCAGAGGUUAAAGCGUCUGCCUGCAAUGCGGGAGACCCGGGUUCGAUCCCUGGAUCGGGAA
rnacentral:tRNA from 1 species